rnacentral:sRNA from 1 species
UCGCUCUUCAACGAGGAAUCCCUAGUAAGCACAAGUCAUCAGCUUGUGCUGAUUACGUCCCUGCCCUUUGUACACACCGCCCGUCGCUACUACCGAUUGAAUGGCUUAGUGAGACCUUUGGAUCGUUAGUUUAGAACUGUAAAAGGUUUUUUUCCGAUGAGAAGUUGGUCAAACUUGGUCAUUUAGAGGAAGUAAAAGUCGUAACAAGGUUUCCGUAGGUGAACCUGCGGAAGGAUCAUUACAAAUUAUGGCGAACUUCGCGUCUCGCGAAGUUUUGCGUCCAAACUUAUUUAAAACAUCCCACUCUUUAAAAAAAAAAAAAUUAUCUAAUGAUAAAUAAAAGAUCACUUUCAACAACGGAUCUCUUGGUUCUCGCAUCGAUGAAGAACGUAGCGAAGUGCGAUAUGUAAUGUGAAUUGCAGAAUUCCGUGAAUCAUCGAAUUUUUGAACGCAAAUUGCACUCUCUUCGGAGAGUAUGCCUGUUUGAGGGUCAGCCUAAAAAAAAUCGACAUAGUUGCUGUUUCGCGGUGACAAUCGUCGGAAAUUGGGCCAUCUUAAAUCUUUUUAUGUUUAAGCGGCUUAAAAUUUUAUUUACGAUUUCACGAACGUUUUUAAGAUUUUAUUUUCUUAUACGUUUAUGUAUCGAUCUUUACUAGACGUGGCCGUUGCAUCGGAUCACGUCCAUAAAUAUUUCGUUAACUGACCUCAUACAGGUAAGAACACCCGCUGAACUUAAGCAUAUCAAUAAGCGGAGGAAAAGAAAAUAACAAUGAUUCCCUUAGUAACGGCGAGUGAAAGGGGAAAAGCUCAAAUUUUAAAUCGGCGUAGGUUUUACCUAGUCGAGUUGUAAUUUGAAGAAGCGUUUACCGCGUCCUGGUCGACCCAAAUCCUUUGGGAUAAGGUAUCAUGGAGGGUGAGAAUCCCGUCCGGUUGACCUCAGGAUGUUUUACGUUACGCUCUCUAAGAGUCGAGUUGUUUGGGAUUGCAGCUCAAAAUGGGAGGUAAAUUUCUCCUAAGGCUAAAUACAGGCGAGAGGCCGAUAGCGAACAAGUACCGUGAGGGAAAGAUGAAAAGAACUUUGAAAAGAGAGUCAAACAGUACGUGAAAUUGUUGAAAGGGAAACGAUUGAAGCCAGUCGUACCGUCGGGAAUUCAACUUUUUAAGUGCUUGUCGUGGGUGAUGUAGAGCCUCACGGCCUUCGUUGCUUUGCGUUAUGGUGCUUUUAGGGUGUACUUUUCCGUAUGGUAGGUCAAUAUCGAUUUUGAUCGUCAUAAAAUGAUCGGAGGAAUGUGGCUUCGAUCUCGUAUCGGAGUGUUAUAGCCUUUGGUAGAUGUGACGACUGGGAUCGAGGAUUGCAACGAAUACCCUUUGGGCUAUCCGUCUGACCUCUGAAAGUCGCUCGGGUGUCGAAAGCGUGCUUAUGACAUUCUAGUUGGCGGUCAAAAGGUUAGAACGCGAUUACAUUCGUUAAGGAUGUUGACGUAAUGGCUUUAAACGACCCGUCUUGAAACACGGACCAAGGAGUCUAACAUAUGUGCGAGUGUUU